AUUGAACGCUGGCGGCAGGCCUAACACAUGCAAGUCGAACGGCAGCACAGAAGAGCUUGCUCUUUGGGUGGCGAGUGGCGGACGGGUGAGUAAUGUCUGGGAAACUGCCCGAUGGAGGGGGAUAACUACUGGAAACGGUAGCUAAUACCGCAUAACGUCGCAAGACCAAAGGGGGGGACCUUCGGGCCUCACACCAUCGGAUGUGCGCAGAUGGGAUUAGCUAGUAGGUGGGGUAAUGGCUCACCUAGGCGACGAUCCCUAGCUGGUCUGAGAGGAUGACCAGCCACACUGGAACUGAGACACGGUCCAGACUCCUACGGGAGGCAGCAGUGGGGAAUAUUGCACAAUGGGCGCAAGCCUGAUGCAGCCAUGCCGCGUGUAUGAAGAAGGCCUUCGGGUUGUAAAGUACUUUCAGCGGGGAGGAAGGCGGUGAGGUUAAUAACCUUGCCGAUUGACGUUACCCGCAGAAGAAGCACCGGCUAACUCCGUGCCAGCAGCCGCCGUAA
rnacentral:rRNA from 1 species